rnacentral:rRNA from 1 species
UACUGAGUGGCAGACGGGUGAGUAACAUGUGGGAAUCUGCCUUAUGGUUCAGGACAACAUUGGGAAACCGAUGCUAAUACUGGAUAAGCCCUUACGGGGAAAGUUUUAAUGCCAUAAGAUGAGCCCGCAUUUGAUUAGUUAGUUGGUGAGGUAAUGGCUCACCAAGACAAUGAUCAAUAGCUGAUCUGAGAGGAUGAUCAGCCACACUGGGACUGAGACACGGCCCAGACUCCUACGGGAGGCAGCAGUGGGGAAUCUUGCACAAUGGAGGAAACUCUGAUGCAGCGAUGCCGCGUGAGUGAAGAAGGCCUUUGGGUUGUAAAGCUCUUUUGUAGGGGAAGAUAAUGACUGUACCCUAAGAAUAAGGUCCGGCUAACUUCGUGCCAGCAGCCGCGGUAAUACGAAGGGACCUAGCGUAGUUCGGAAUUACUGGGCGUAAAGCGCGCGUAGGCCGUUGAGUUAGUUAAUUGUGAAAUCC